rnacentral:rRNA from 1 species
AUUGAACGCUGGCGGCAGGCCUAACACAUGCAAUUCGAACGCGUGGCGGACGGGUGAGUAAUGUCUGGGAAUCAGCCCGCUGGUGGGGGAUAACUUGUGGAAACGGUAGCUAAUACCGCAUCUCCUCGGCUGUGCCCAGGUUGGUUUGGCUAGUAGGUGGGGUAAUGGCUGACCUAGUCGACUAUCCCUGGCUGGUCUGAGAGGAUGACCAGCCUCACGGGAACUGGGAAACGGUCCAAAAUCCGACGGGGGGCAGCAGUGGGGAGUUUGGCAUUAUGGGGGCAAGCCUGAGGCAGCCAUGCCGCUUGUAUGAAGUAGGCAUUCGGGCUUUAAAGUACUAUCGGCGAGGAGGCGUUACGCGCCGAGGAAGCACCGGCGAACUCCGUGCCAGCAGCCGCGGUAAUAC